AGAGCAAGCGGACCUCAUAAAGUGCGUCGUAGUCCGGAUUGGAGUCUGCAACUCGACUCCAUGAAGUCGGAAUCGCUAGUAAUCGUAGAUCAGAAUGCUACGGUGAAUACGUUCCCGGGCCUUGUACACACCGCCCGUCACACCAUGGGAGUGGGUUGCAAAAGAAGUAGGUAGCUUAACCUUCGGGAGGGCGCUUACCACUUUGUGAUUCAUGACUGGGGUGAAGUCGUAACAAGGUAACCGUAGGGGAACCUGCGGUUGGAUCACCUCCUUA
rnacentral:rRNA from 2 species